rnacentral:rRNA from 1 species
CCUACGGGUGGCUGCAGUCGAGAAUCAUUCACAAUGGGGGAAACCCUGAUGGUGCGACGCCGCGUGGGGGAAUGAAGGUCUUCGGAUUGUAAACCCCUGUCAUGUGGGAGCAAAUUAAAAAGAUAGUACCACAAGAGGAAGAGACGGCUAACUCUGUGCCAGCAGCCGCGGUAAUACAGAGGUCUCAAGCGUUGUUCGGAAUCACUGGGCGUAAAGCGUGCGUAGGCGGUUUCGUAAGUCGUGUGUGAAAGGCGAGGGCUCAACCCGCGGACGGCACAUGAUACUGCGAGACUAGAGUAAUGGAGGGGGAAGCGGAAUUCUCGGUGUAGCAGUGAAAUGCGUAGAGAUCGAGAGGAACACUCGUGGCGAAGGCGGGUUCCUGGACAUUAACUGACGCUGAGGCACGAAGGCCAGGGGAGCGAAAAGGAUUAGAUACCCUUGUAGUC